rnacentral:sRNA from 1 species
ACAUUUUUUUCUUCCUUUUCUGCCCCUGUAGUUUUGCAUAUCUGAAAGACUACAAUCAGUUUUCCCUUCUUUCUUGAAGCAGGCCUAGUGCAGUUUGAAAGUCAUCUAGUUUUAAGACCUCCUCUCACAGCUGUCCCAACCUACACCAAGAAGAUCUGGAAGCAACAGAGCACCCUAAAUUCUCCCAGUUAUUUACAUCAUAGCCCUUUGUCAUCCAUUACAUUUUUUGCAUGACUAUCCAUGACAAUGAACAGAUAUCCCUGUUUCUCUGCAGCUUCAUUUCUGAAGAUUCACACAGCACAGACAAUUGGUAUUGAAUUAAUUUGCUACGCUCCCUUCUUCUUAAUCUGCCUUCUAUUAUAUGGCCUCAGCCAUGAAUUUUGCAAUUAGUAAGGACAAGAUAUUACUUUUCUUUGGCUAAGAACUUACUGCUAUGCAGUUUACUGUGUGUUUUUUUUUAGCUGCUUUUCUUUUUCUUCAUUCAAAUGUAUGUGUGUGGUGAGCCUUCGUUGAUCGAUGUGUACUAUGUACACGCACAGGUUCAAGGAUGCAGAAUGUGUCAUCAGAUUCCCGGGAAAUGGAUGUGUCAGGCACAUAGGUGCUGGGGAUCAAACUGAUCAUCUGCAAGAGCUGAAAUGUUCAAAUUUCUAUUCCCAUCCUUCCGCUGACUUAGUAUUACCUUCUCAGGAAGCAGCUCAAGUAUGAAGAAGACAAACUAACAAAAAUUAUCACCCCAAACUGUGGCUACCAGUUAAAUAACAGUGAAGAAUUCAAAAGGAAAGAUGAAUUUAUACGGGAACGUCUUGUCAAUGAAGCAUUCAUGUGGAACCUCUACAGGAACAGAAAGUCCACAGCAGGCCUCACAAAGAGAACUCUGGUAAGAUUAUCUCAACCAGCUGGUUCACCUGGAAGCUAGCUGAGUGGGAGAGCCACCUAACAUGAGGGCCUGGAAUAUAGGGGGUCUUCUUUAUGCUUAUAAACAUUGACAUUUUGGUCAAGGUAAGUUAUUUUCUUGUGAUAGAUUUUCCUAUGCCUUGUACAGUAACAGAAGCCUAGACUCCUGCCUAUCUGGUGUCAGUAGCAUUGCUCACAUCGAUUAUGUUUAAUUUUUCCUACAGUUACUUCUGUGUACCACAUGUGUGUCAGAUAUCCCUGGAGAGCAUAAAGAGGUGUCCUGUCCUCUAGGACUGUACUUAUAGAUGGCUGUUAGCUUCCAAAUGAUUGCUGGCACUCUGCAAGAGUAACACAUCCCCUUAGCCACUAAGCCCAUUCUCCAGUUCUAUAUUCUCUGAUGAUCAAACUAGGAACAUAUCAGCCACUUAUUUGGAACUGUCGGUAUAAUUCAUCUUGAAAGUGGUAAAAGAUUCUUCAGAACCUAGUAAAUAGUGGGCUCAACUUACUUUAAAAUUGUGACGUGUUUUGGUGUGGUGUUAG